CGUCGAGUUGCUACUCAGAAGUGGGUCAGCGAGUUGUUGACUCAAGAGGCGGCACUCUGAAGUCUCACAAGCUGAUAGCUUCCAUUCCGAGUUGCAUUAUGCAUUUGGUGUUGGUCGAAAAGCUGGGCGGGCUAGACGCCAUAUCAAUCACUGGACUCUCCGUCAGUGGGUUAGUGGAGCAGGCAGGACAGAUACCCUGCCGAUAAGGUCGCUCUACAAGGGGGUUAAUUGCAGAUCAUCAACCUCCAACCCGCUUACUCGCCAGUCGCCAGUCAGAGUUCAACUCACCUUGUCCGAAACAGAAAGGCCUGUUCUUGCGCAAUCUCCGAGGAAGUCUGCAAAGAACAAGAAACAAGGCAGGAGCCAUCGAGACAAGUUGUUCGGGCGAGGCUAUUAAAAUUAAUCAAAGCAGUUACGCUACAACGCAAUGCCAUGUAGGAGAUAAUAAAUUGUGGUGCUCACUCCGGCUGAACCACAUAAACAGAGUACCAGCAAAACCGCCAACAACACCCACCACCGAUCGGCCAAACCUGUCAACUGUAACGCAAGACAAUCAAAAAAAGUGCAUAAAUUAAUAAAGUAACGUAAAAGGCCUGUAAUGCC